rnacentral:rRNA from 1 species
GUCUACGGCCAUACCACCCUGCACGUGCCAGAUCUCGUCUGAUCUCAGAAGCUAAGCAGGGUCGGGCCUGGUUAGUACUUGGAUGGGAGACCGCCUGGGAUUACCAGGUGCUGUAGGCU